rnacentral:rRNA from 1 species
GAUUUCGUAGGUGACCUGCGGAAGGAUCAUUAUUGAACUCUGUCGAGAAAGCGUGGAGGGGGGAAGACGAGCGGACGAAGUUGGUGGGGGUUGUCGCUGGCCUUUCGGGCACGUUGCAAGGCUCGUCUAGUCUCCUUUUUCUUUCUUCUUUUGCGGGAACUCGUUCUCUCCCCCUGUGCCCCGUUGUAGGCUUCCUCGCAGGGGAGACCUAUGUCUUUCAUAAAUUCGUAGGUGUACGAAUGUCUACCUUUCAACGUCGUCCGACUUGGCCCUCGUGCCUUGUCGGCGAUGGCGAAUCGAAUCAUAAACAACUUUCAGCAACGGAUCUUUGGCCUCUGCAUCGAUGAAGAACGCAGCGAAUGGCGAUAAGUAAUGUGAAUUGCAGAUUUUCAUUGAAUCAUCGAAUCUUUGAACGCCCCUGGCGCUCCUGGGUAUUUCGAGGAGCCGGCCGGUUUGAGUGUCCUUGAAUUUUCAACCCGGUCUCGAUGGAUUUCGAGCGCCAGGCUUGGAAGUGGGGGCUGCUGGCGGCUGAGCGUUGGCUUUCCUGAAAUGCCUUAGCAGAGGCGAGCCUUUCGUGCCCGGCCUUGAUGUGAUAAUGAUUGUCUGGGCUGGAGCGAGGAGCCUGAGUUGUCGCUGCUUCUAGUUUGAUCCUUGCGAUCACUUUUGAAACUUGACCUCAAAUCAGGUAGGACUACCCGCUGAACUUAAGCAUAUCAAUAAGCGGAGGAAAAGAAACUAACAAGGAUUCCCCUAGUAACUGCGAGUGAAGCGGGAAGAGCUCAAAAUUUUGAUCUGGCGGUCUUUGGCCGUCCGAGUGUAAUCUAGACGAAUGUCGCUGACU